UCCAUUUCCAGUAACUGUCUUUCCUUCUCGUUUUCGUUUUCCAUUUCCUCUUUUAGGCGUCUCUUUUCUUGUUCGUGUCUUAUUUCAUCCUGUUCUCGUUCCAUUUCAGAUUCUGUCCUGGUUUUCUUCACUGCCAUGGCCAUCAGGUUUAGCUGCAUCACUUUCUCUAAUUCCUUUACCUCUUCCCGUAUUCUUAAUUCACGUUCACAGACAUAUUUGAACAUGUAUUGCAUCCGCUCUCUCAGUUUCAUCACUGGAUUUUGCUGAUCUCUCAUUCGGAAUUUGACAUCUUUAAUGACCUCAUUUAAGAUAUUCAGGACUUCUUCAUGUCUUCCUCGUGUCUUUAUGUGAUCCUCUGGG